GUCGCAUUGGCGCAAUGGUAGCGCGCAAGACUUCUAGCACGUUAUCUUGAGGCUGUGGGUUCGAGCCCCACAUGCGAUG
rnacentral:tRNA from 1 species